rnacentral:rRNA from 1 species
GAUGAACGCUGGCGGCGUGCCUAAUACAUGCAAGUCGAGCGAACGGACGAGAAGCUUGCUUCUCUGAUGUUAGCGGCGGACGGGUGAGUAACACGUGGAUAACCUACCUAUAAGACUGGGAUAACUUCGGGAAACCGGAGCUAAUACCGGAUAAUAUUUUGAACCGCAUGGUUCAAAAGUGAAAGACGGUCUUGCUGUCACUUAUAGAUGGAUCCGCGCUGCAUUAGCUAGUUGGUAAGGUAACGGCUUACCAAGGCAACGAUGCAUAGCCGACCUGAGAGGGUGAUCGGCCACACUGAAACUGAAACAGGGUCCAGACUCCUACGGGAGGCAGCAGUAGGAAAUCUUCCGCAAUGGGCGAAAGCCUGACGGAGCAACGCGGCGUGGGUGAUGAAGGUCUUCGGAUCGUAAAACUCUGUUAUUAGGGAAGAACAUAUGUGUAAGAAACAGUGCACAUCUGGACGGUACCUAAGCAGAAAGCCACGGCUAACUACGG